GACGAACGCUGGCGGCGUGCUUAACACAUGCAAGUCGAACGGAAAGGCCCUGCUUUUGUGGGGUGCUCGAGUGGCGAACGGGUGAGUAACACGUGAGUAACCUGCCCUUGACUUUGGGAUAACUUCAGGAAACUGGGGCUAAUACCGGAUAGGAGCUCCUGCUGCAUGGUGGGGGUUGGAAAGUUUCGGCGGUUGGGGAUGGACUAGCGGCUUAUCAGCUUGUUGGUGGGGUAGUGGCUUACCAAGGCUUUGACGGGUAGCCGGCCUGAGAGGGUGACCGGCGACAUGGGUACUGAGAUACGGCCCAGACGCCUACGGUAGGCAGCAGGGGGGAAUAUUGCACAAUGGGCGGAAGCCUGAGGCAGCAACGCCGCGUGCGGGAUGACGGCCUUCGGGGUGUAAACCGCUGUCGCCUGUGACGAAGCGUGAGUGACGGUAAUGGGUAAAGAAGCACCGGCUAACUACGUG
rnacentral:rRNA from 1 species